CCUACGGGAGUCAGCAGUGAGGAAUAUUGGUCAAUGGACGCGAGCCUGAACCAGCCAAGUAGCGUGAAGGAUGACUGCCCUACUGGUUGUAAACUUCUUUUAUAAAGGAAUAAGAUGAUGCACGUGUGCCUUUUUGUAUGUACUUUAUGAAUAAGGAUCGGCUAACUCCGUGCCAGCAGCCGCGGUAAUACGGGGGCUCCGAUCGUUAUCCGUAUUUAUUGGGUUUAAAGGGAGCGUAGAUGGGUUGUUAAGUCAGUUGUUAAAGUUUGCGGCUCAACCGUAAGAUUGCAAUUGAUACUGGCAGGCUUGAGUACAGUUGAGGUAGGCGGAAUUCGUGGUGUAGCGGUGAAAUGCUUAGAUAUAACGAAGAACUCCGAUUGCGAAGGCAGCUUACUAAACUGCCACUGACAUUGAGGCUCGAAAGCGUGGGUAGCAAACAGGAUUAGAUACCCGAGUAGUC
rnacentral:rRNA from 1 species